GAUGACGUCAGCAGGUCCUUUCCGAAUACAGCAUUUAGCCUUUCCCCAUGGAGAAGCUGCCCCCGGCCGCCAUGAUGGAGGCUCCCCUCCCAGGUUCUGAUUCCAGGAGGAGAAGUCCCCCCAAGAGGUGUCCCCAUUCUAUGUAUUCCCAGGACUGUCCAGAGGAGAAGCUCCCAGAGAACCAUCAGGAUGAAAAUCUGAUGGAUAUUAAGGCUGAGGUUAAAGAUGAAGCAGAAGAGGAGACGGAUUUAUGGGGCGAUCAGCAGG